rnacentral:lncRNA from 1 species
GAAAAAGACUCUGAUGCUGGGAGGGAUUGGGGGCAGGAGGAGAAGGGGACGACAGAGGAUGAGAUGGCUGGAUGGCAUCACUGACUCGAUGGACGUGAGUCUGAGUGAACUCCGGGAGUUGGUGAUGGACAGGGAGGCCUUGCAUGCUGCAAUUCAUGGGGUCGAAAAGAGUUGGACACGACUGAGCGACUGAACUGAACUGAACUGUACUGAAGAUUCAGUUCAUAUAAGAGCUCUUCAAGGGCAGGGAUUAUGUCUUAUUCAUUAUUUUUCAUCUCUAGCCCUAUAUUUUUAUAAUAGGUAUCUAAGUAGUUACAAAAUAUAAAAAUCACUUUCCACUACUUUCAAAUCAAAGUUUCUUUGCAAAUAUUUUUCAGUGAAAACAGCUCCAUCAAUAUCUUCUUCCUACCUCAAGAUGUCUGAUUAGAAGUUAAUGCUUACAUAUGGGUGUAUACAAAGGCCACUGACUUUGAGGGCCCCUAGCUGUCAAGAGGCUUCUCCAGGAAGACAAAGCAAGCCUGUGCAAGGCCAAGGUCAGCACAUAAACAUUUGGCAUUCUCAGGAUGCUCUGGUAACGCAACACAAUCUGAGCUGGAUUUGCUAUAUCUCUUUCUACUUUAUCCUUGUCUUCAAAAGUCUCAAAUCAAAACGACACAGCCAAGAAGGAAAAAAUGCUGAUAGUGGGCUUCAGAUGGUUGUAAUUACAGAGACAUCAUUCAGCCGUUUCUAACUUUUUGCAACCCCGUGGACCGUGGCCCACCAGGCUCUUCUGCUCAUGGGACUUCCCAGGCAAAAAUACUGGAAUGGGUUGCCAUUUCCUUCUCCAGGGGAUCUUCCUGACCCAGGGAUUGAACCCAUGUCUCCUACAUUGCAGGGAGAUUCUUUACCAUCCGAGCCACCAGGAAAACCAGAACCAACUAACAUCUUCUUUUUUCAUCUAUUGUGACAGAUUCCAAGAGAAACCAAAAAUGACUCCAAGUUAAAGGCAAGGUUUUUAAUGAAAUAUGAAAGUAGCUGAGAUAAAUCAUGUCAAACAAGAAAGCUAAAAGUCAAUGUAGGAAAGUUUUUUAAGCCUAUGAAGAGAAUUAACCAGACUUUAGGGACUAAGUGAAAAGAAAAUGUAUCAGUAAAAUAAUCAAAAGUGAAAGGACGCAUUUAUUUAGAGAGGUUUUGGGGAGAGACUAUUGGAUUUCUAUCUUUGGUGAUAUAUUGAUACAUAGAUUGAAUACAACCUCAGAAUAGCUAGCGAUCUUGAAAGAGAAGAGCAAAGUUGGAGGACUCACAUCCCCCAGUUUCAAAAUUUACUACAAGCCUACAGUAAUCAAGGCAGUGUGGUACUGGCAUAAGGACAGACUUAUAAAUCAAUGGAAGAGAACUGCAAGCCCAGAAAUAAAUCCUUAUAUUUACACCA